AAUAAAAUAAAAUAAAAAAAAGAAGUAUGGAUAUUAUGUUGAGUGGUAGACACUGAGGUAGGGAGUGCUUUAACACACUACUCUUACUUGGACAUGUUUUGAUCCACUUGUUAUAAAACGGAUUAUGUAACAAUGUGUGCUAAGUUGUUAUAAUCCUACAUACAUCUCCUUCUAAAAUCAGUCAAAGGCAAAACUGCACUUGUGAUUUAACUCUUCCAAUAUUUGUAUUUGGAUCCAUUCUGAAGCACUUGAGCGUGACUCUGAAUUAGUUGGUAAUUCUGUAUACUAACAAUGGAAUUCCGCUGAAUAGCGGAAGUUUGAAAAUCUCAUAAUUACCUACCAGAGAAGGAAGUCUCAGCCCGCUGCCCUCAGCCUGGUUUCUGUGUGGCACCAGCUAUUUGAAAACAUUACUUCCUGGUAGCAGGGGAGCAGUCAAUGGCAGGCAGAGCUUUUCCUCACUGUGUCUCUUUUCAUGCCUAACAUGUGUGCCUCAACUUCUCCAUCACAUCCCAAGCAUGGUCAGGUGGCAAAUCAGCAUUUUUUCACAAGCUUCCAGGUGAUAUUUAUGCAGUGUAAAGUUUGAGAAUUGCUGCUGGAGAGGCUUGGGGAACAACUCUAUCUGCUACAAAAAAUAUGCUUUGAGGUUGACGCAUUAUGAGCCCAGGUGGCCAGGUACAACAGAGAAGCGGGCAAGCAGGACAGUGUACUGCCAAGGAUAUCGACUUUUUGCCAACCUGACUUGAAUUAGGCUCCUCUCCACUCCUUAUGGGUCCUAAUGCUUAAGAAUAAUAAUUGACUUCCUGGAUCCCCACUUGUACCUUCUGUAAAAUGAUGGGUUAUUGUCCUUACAAAUUUACUGAAUGUAUUAAAAGAAAAUAUGAGAAUCUCAAUUAUCUUCAAGUCCAGGCUAGUAUGUAGAACACAGUACCUGAGAAAUCAUAAGAGACAGCAGACAUUAUAGAUCCCGGUGAACCAGAGCCUGGGAACUCUUCUUGGGGCAUAGUAGUAAAAAUGACUUUCAAUAAUAAAUAACGUAAACUUCAAAAUUCAAACAAAACUCAUUCUCCUGGUCCACUGUCACACAGAUCCAGGUCCAUCCUUUGUCUUGAACAGCUAAAGUUGGACAUCAUUUUUAAAACAAGUGCCUUUAAUACUAAUGUCUGUUUCUAAUCAUAAGGAUAUGUUUCCACAAACUCAUGAUUCACAUAUCUAAACUAACUCAGUAGCCAUAUACAUUUAUCCCCUCAGUCUUGGAGAGCAAAGUUCAGGUACUCUGAGAUCACUAUUUGCAAAUACAGUUCCACAAGGUUUUGACACUUCUGUCUAUUAUUCUGUUCAUAUAAGCCCUUCUAAUGGAGUAACUCCGACAAAUGAGGUCACAUGAAGCCCUUUCUCUGUCCCUACUAUGGCCUUAGUCUCUGAUUUUCCUUAGUAGAAACUGAAAGGAAUAAAGAUUGAAAGAGUGUGUUUCUGUUAAUAAUGAAGGAAAAAAGAUGUUUUACUACAUGAAAUAAACCUGUAUUUUUUUAAGCUAGUGAACAACAUAGCUUCACAGUCUGCAGUGAAGUGUUACUCUAUUGAGAUUGGAUUUCCAUACUUAUAAAACAGACCCAGCAAUCCCUUAUGGUUAUUUUGACGAUUGAACGGAUAUAAAAUGCUGUCAUGCCCUGCUUGGUAUUUAACGGGUUAACUUGUUCAUUUGCUACACCUUAACAGCUAUUUCUAACUGGGAUGGGUUAGCACAUCCUCACAUCAGAGUUUGAGUAGGCCAGAGGUAUUUAGGGCUAGGCCUGAGGUGUGAAGUUAAACACAACAAUGAUGCAAUUUAUUGACAUAAAGGCCAGGAAUAGAGUGCCCAGCCUUUAGGAAUUCUGAGUCAUAAAGCCCCGGAUGGGGCAAGCCAAAACAAAAUUCUUAUAAUUGACAGCAAAUGAUGACUAACUAUUUAAUACUGCCUUCUAAAUACUUAUCCUUAUACUUAGAGAUUGUCGCAGCUCUUAACCUUCAUCAAAACAACAUCUUACUGAGACUUAAAAUGCAACGUCUGUAUCUCUGUCUUACCUGGAAGGCUCAAGAGAUGUCACUGAAGAGAGAGAGGGAACGCUGUAAGAGCAGUCGGUCAGGGAGGACUGUGAUGAAUCAUUGUUUUCUGGACGUGAAAGGACCUCUCCUGUGAAUUACAGGGACCUGAGGACCUUCUUCAUUGGAUUAGAGAGACCACCACUUCUCAUGGAAGAUUUUGAGGAGCAAAGGCCUGUUUUACAAAGCCUAUCCAAAGCAAGCCAUGAACACUUACUCCAAGCAUGCCAUAUAUGGAGAAUGAUGAGGCAGGACAACCCAGGAGGAAGAAGUGGAGACUGCAGAGAAAACUGACAACCAGGCUUCCUGUUCUUUAGACUCAUGGCUCGCUUAGAUGAGAGACUUAAAUCCAUCCCAGGCUUUGGCAACCAUCACUAAAUACAAUGGGUCACAUACAAAAAAUAAAGGUAUGAAAGCUGGAGGAAAAUUUGAGAAGAAGGAAUUUGAUAGGUAUAUAAAUUUGAUAGGUAUAUAAGAGUGGAUAAAUUGGGGGACGUUUUGUCAAAAAUGUAUUUAUAAUUGGUAAAUCAAUGAGUACAUGCAUGAAGUGUAAUAAAUGAAUAUAUAUGGCUUUUUAAAGUGUAAUAAAUGAGAAUGAAGAGGCAAAGUGAUGUGAUGCACUUACUCAUAUCUGUUCAACUCCCUUGGAGCUCACUGCCCUUGCUGCCUGAUUAGCUUGUGAGCAUCUCAGUAAAAGUCUUCGAACUUCUUUACUUCAGGGUUUGUCUGGAGCUGGUGAAUUGGGACAGGCUUUAAGGAGGUGGGUCUUGACUCUAGACUGAUGCUAUGAGGAAACUGGUAAUUCUGUAAUCUCUACUUUGUUGAGUCCUUUCUUGAGGGGGAAAGGAUGAAAUAGGGCUUCCUGGUUUGUUUUGUAGCAAAGCCACCACUCUCAGAGCCAGGAGAUACAUAUAGUUUAACUAUUCAUUCCUGUAGCAGGGACGCUGAGUUUAUUUUGUCAGUGCUCACAUGUGACUAUGCCACUGUCCCUCGUCUGUUGCUUUGGAAACAGUGUCUUACUAGACAGCUUAGGCUGACCUUGAGGAUUUCCUGCCUGAGUGUACCAGGUUCUGGAAUUACGGGGAUGUCCUCCCACUUCUAACAAGAUCUUCUGCUUUGUUUCUUCUUUGUUUUUUUCUUGAUUCAUGGCAAUCACAGGAUGCUUUGAUACUUGUUCUUUGUACAGUUGUUUGUGUUUAAGAAGAAUAGGUUUUUCUUCAUUGAAAACAGAUAUGUACAUACAACAUAUCCUGAGUUUGGUUUGCUCUCUACAUGAUCCUCCUUCCAGAUCCUCCCUGACUCCCCAUUAGCACAAAUUCACACCCUUUCUCUUUCUCUCUCAUUAGAAUAUAAACACACAUCUAAUAAAACAGUAGCAUGAAAUAAAAGAAAAUAAAGCAAGAACAGAAUUAGCUGUGAGUUUCAGGAUAUGGUUUUCCCUAUCCGUUUGCUGUCUACAAUGGCAUGUCCUCUGUGCCUCUAGUUGCUACUGGACUCAGGUCUUUUUCCAAAUUCCAUAGACAAACUGUUCUCUAGUAAAAUUUUCAUGAGCAGAGACAUAUUUUUCUUUCUCUGUAUAUCCCAAAAAGGAGUCUAAUGUUUCAGAGUGAACAUUCAUAGAACUAGUGGAUAGAACGUGUGCUACCUGAGGUAUAUUUUGCUAUGUUGAAAUGAUCUAAAGGCAAUGGCCACAUAUCGCUAACUUCUCCUACUGAAUUAAAAAUAAAUUCAUUAGGGUGGACAGAAAUUAAGACAAAGUUCACAGUCUGAAAUGUUUCUCAUGUGUCAAAAUAUUUUGUCAAAAAUAAACAUUAGCCAAGGUUGGAGAACCGAUUUGAUUUUUGUAUCAAAUCCAAUCUUUCCCCCAGACAUACCUGCCAAAGCAUGAAUGAAGCAAGCAUACAGGAUGUUGCAAAUGUUAACACAGAAACUGAGUAAUCACACUUGUAGUAGCUCAGCUGGUAUGUGCUUCCAUUCUUCCGUGAAGAAUCCUCUCCAGUGAGCUGUCUGAGGUGCUGGACCCUCUAUAUCCUUAAUGCAUACCCAACAACAUGCAUAGGAAGGGAACCCCGGGUGGACUUUCAGGUGUUACACGUAACACUUACCACUCAUGAUUUGAAACCUCUUUUACAUUGUUUUCCUAGUCUCCGGAAGUCCCUGAAAACGAUAAGUGAAUGGCACAGGUGUUUCUACUGAUUGGCAUCAUGGGAGGUCCUCCUUGGUGACAGAAAGCUGGGAUCUAUGGAAUGAUGUGACUUAUUCAAAGUCACACAAUUAAUGGGUAGGUGGAUCUGCAGAACUCUUUUGCUGGAUUUGUAACAACAAAGAGCAAAAUGGAUGACUCUUUUUGCCUGAUGAUUCCACACUACCUCCUGAUUUCUCCUGCUAGAAAGGGCUUGAUUUCACGACUAUUCUGUUACCACAUUGUCUCCAGCUCACAGAGACAAAGAAAGGUGUCAGGGCCUACCUCAUGGCACUGAAUAAAUAGAAAAACAUUCAUUGUCAUAUGAACAAGCAAAGUGAGCCAACAAUUUAUAAACAUGAAAAUGUAGCCUCGUUCCAGUGUUCCUUAUGCAGCUAACAGAAGAUGUGCGGAUAUUGCUUACAGUCUAGGAAGCGCCAUAUAACUGUAAGUUACAAUGGUCUUUCUUACAAAGCUAGGUUCUUAGUCAACUGUGUAGCAUUUGAGCAAUUCAUUAGGCACUGGUAUUUUACCUGGCAGAGGAAACAACAGAAGCAAGAUAAAUUAAUUUUUUCUCAGAAACCAAGAUUUCAAAGAUGAGUGUGGCGUAUGGUGUACACCAGUGUCCUUUGGGUUCAACAUGUCUCUGCAACACAGAAACUGGAGCAGUUGUGAUUGCAUUCCUGGAACUCACAAAAGAGCUGAGGUAGUAGGAGAAAUCCAGCCACCAUUCUCUCUUGUCCAACCCCAACUCAUGUAAUCCAUACCCAGCUGCAGGGCAUCUGGGUCAGUACUAGGUUAUAAACAAAUAAAAACGCACCGGAAGCUGUCACAGGGCUGCUAACUUGGGGAACACUACUUUACUUUUGAGGAGUAUAUUUUAGAAAUUGGAAAAUUCCUUUGGUACGUUUUGUUAAACCAGUAUUUGAGUUUUGUCUUUUUAAUGUCUAAAUUGAUAUUCAUCAUAAAGAAUGUUAAGAUGACUUAAAAUAUUCAUCCAAUCUCACUGUGUGUGCUACUUUAAAGGUUUAAUUUGAUAUUUGAUGAUGCAGAAUAAUUAGUUUCUGGCCAUUUCGUGCCAGAAAGGUGAAUUCUGUUAAAAACCUGCUCUCUAAUUAUUAAAGUCCCAUUGCAGUGAUUAUUUUAGGUAAUGUAAAGUUAAUAAAAGCUAUGAUAGUUUUAACAACUUUUUGAAACAACCAACUUCUUAAAGGUUACCCCAAUCAAAGUCUCCAAAAGCUGCCCAAAUCAGCAGAGAAAACUUGACAUACUUAGUGGCAUUUGAAACUUAGAUCAAAGAGACGAGUGGUCAGAGUUUGAAUAUGUUCCUUUAUUUAUGUAGUCACGUAUAGGCAUCUUUUUAUUUGCAAGAAUAAAAUAGAAUGUCUAUAUGUGCAAGUCAUAAAGUGCAUUCUAAACAAGCAUAUGUCAACAAAAAUAGAUUUAGAAAAUAACACAGAAUCUAUUCUCUUUUUCCAUUAAAAUGUGGUUCCCCAGCAAAGAGGUAACUAUGCAAGAAAUGAGGAAAGAAAGGAGCUCAAUAGAACAUGUUUUUCCCUAAAAUGUGCAAAUAAAAUAAAGACAUGUAGUAGAAUGAUUCAAUUUGUUAUAUAAAAGGAUAUUGAAUGAGAAUGUUUUUAUAAGGUAUAUCAGGAAUGCUGGGCACAUAGAUUGGGGCAUGGGGUGCCAACAUCUGAAGUCCUGGGUUUAAGUUUCAGCACCAUCUAUACUAGUGUGGAGGAGACACACAAGUGCAUGGAAGGAAAUAAUUAGAUUAGCAAAGGGUAAAAUGUACAUCAGUAAUCAACAAACAGAGGCGCGAGUGAGUAAUUAUUCUUAAUGUUUAAUAUUAUGGAUGAAGAAAGAGAUAACUGAGAAGAAUAUAUUGAGAAAAGAGUCUCCUGGGAGAGCUGGGAUAGACACAGUCAUGAAACAAAACAUUGCAGACUAAACGGAAGGCUCUCGGAAGCGCUUGCACUCCUCUCUCAUGGAAAACCUUAGAAGAAUUGCUAAGACACCCUUGAAGGAAGUUUGAGGAAAAACUACAAGGCUAAACAAGACAAAGAAUAUAAAUACGGACUGUGCACAAGUGCUUGCGUAGCAUUCGCGAAGCCCUUGAGCUUGAGCACCAGGACUGCAUAAAAGAGGUGUGAUGGGAAUGCAGGAGGCAGGCGGGGCAGAAGGUCUGCACUAGUCUGCAUUAAUUAAAUGCUCACUCGAUAACUUCCCGAAUUUACGGUGGCCGAGCUGCUCUGUCAGGAAGAAAAAGGGCUUGUUUUGAGGUGUGAACGUUUCUCAUCCCUGAACGAAUUCCAAACAAGAGAUGCGAUUCCAGCAAGCUUCCAAGUGCUCACGCACAAACAAACUACAGGGAAGUGUUCAAUACCGUGAAUCAGCACCAGACAGGAAACACAGCAUCCGCGUGUCACUCAGCGAAGGCGGUUUGUCUCACCU